CCCUACGGGGGGCAGCAGUGAGGAAUAUUGGUCAAUGGUCGGGAGACUGAACCAGCCAAGCCGCGUGAGGGAGGAAGGUACAGAGUAUCGUAAACCUCUUUUGUCAGGGAACAAAGGCGGGGACGUGUCCCCGGAUGAGUGUACCUGAAGAAAAAGCAUCGGCUAACUCCGUGCCAGCAGCCGCGGUAAUACGGAGGAUGCGAGCGUUAUCCGGAUUUAUUGGGUUUAAAGGGUGCGCAGGCGGUCUGUUAAGUCAGCGGUCAAAGCCCGGAGCUCAACCCCGGCCCGCCGUUGAAACUGGCAGG
rnacentral:rRNA from 1 species